rnacentral:rRNA from 1 species
CAGUCGCCGCGGUAAUACGAAGGGUGCAAGCGUUAAUCGGAAUUACUGGGCGUAAAGCGUGCGUAGGCGGUGAGUUAAGUCUGCUGUGAAAUCCCCGGGCUCAACCUGGGAAUGGCAGUGGAUACUGGCUCGCUAGAGUGUGUCAGAGGAUGGUGGAAUUCCCGGUGUAGCGGUGAAAUGCGUAGAGAUCGGAAGGAACAUCUGUGGCGAAGGCGACUAUCUGGGCCAACACUGACACUGAGGCACGAAAGCGUGGGGAGCAAACAGGAUUAGAUACCCCAGUAGUCCCUGUCUCUUAUAA